rnacentral:rRNA from 1 species
AUUGAACGCUGGCGGCAUGCCUUACACAUGCAAGUCGAACGGCAGCACGGGAGCAAUCCUGGUGGCGAGUGGCGAACGGGUGAGUAAUAUAUCGGAACGUGCCCAGUCGUGGGGAUAACGUAGCGAAAGCUACGCUAAUACCGCAUACGAUCUAUGGAUGAAAGCGGGGGAUCGCAAGACCUCGCGCGAUUGGAGCGGCCGAUAUCAGAUUAGGUAGUUGGUGAGGUAAAGGCUCACCAAGCCGACGAUCUGUAGCUGGUCUGAGAGGACGACCAGCCACACUGGAACUGAGACACGGUCCAGACUCCUACGGGAGGCAGCAGUGGGGAAUUUUGGACAAUGGGCGCAAGCCUGAUCCAGCAAUGCCGCGUGCAGGAUGAAGGCCUU